ACAGAGCUUCACAGAGAACCCUGCCAUUCAUACUGGGUCUUUAAACUUGUGUUUGUAGGAGGAUUAUUGGUCAAGGAUACAUUAUGAUGAGAAACAGGGAAAAUCAGCAGGAGAGUUGAUACGUGAACUGGGCGAAGAUGGAGUGUUUCUAAUCCGACCCAGCAAAUCAGGCGACUGUAAUGUGCUGGUAGUCUUUGUGGAGAACAUGCCAAAGCUAUAUAGAAUAUUCCAAACCGGGGAUUCGUUUUACCUGAGGGAGAAUGUGACAUUCAAGAGUACAGAAGAGUUGGUGUGCCACUAUUACCAAAACAAACUGCCUUGUAAAAUCUAUCUGAAAAUGCCCUAUUUCCUACACCCAAAUUAUAAAGAGUGAUAUAUGAUGGAAUAUGUGGGAAAACCGUCUGUACUGAAGCAGAAAACAAACAGUUUACAGUACAUCACAAGAAAGAAUUGUUUUGUUGGUGGACCUAUGAAAGGCGGAGAGUUGAGAGUGCCAUUAUGUGCAGGACGUCAUCAGAGGAACUGAAAAGAAUAUUUUCUUUGAGAGUGGCAGAUUGAAUGAGAAAUGCUGAUUUGAUAUUCUGAUGACAAUAUGGCAUUGACAAAUCCUUAAAAUUGGACUCCAACCUAAAGCUGCACAUAUGCACGGGAAACUGAGGUUGUCUCAUAGCAGUUGCGGUUGUGUUGAAGUGAAGUGGCUGUUUGCUGUUAAAGGAAUUCACUCUAAAAAAAAAAAAAAAAUGUUUGAGAGAUGCUGAGAAAUGAUGAUGUGCCCUGUUACCCAACAAAGAAUAAUGUGCCAGUUAAAUGCAUGGACUGCAUUGCGAAAUGUUUCUUUCUAAUCUUGUCUGUAGGAUAUGAAGAAACAGGCAGGCUCAGUUCAUGAAGCAGACAUACUGAGGAUGUGGUAAUACAAAACUCACUGUUCAUAAGGUGCUGUUGUGAACGUUGAUGUAUUUUUACAGUAAUUUAUACUGGGUUUGCAUGCAGGGAAACGAGAAAUGUUACAAAAAGGAAAUUAAAAGAAAUGCUUUAAUCAAAAGUGACCACUUCAGUUGUUUGCAUUCCACAUGCUUAGCCCACUAGUGUUUCUCUUAGGCAGAUUGGUAUAGACUUAUUUGUACCUGAAGUAGAUAGGCCUGUAGCAUAAUGAAUAGUCAUACAUGUGAUAUGUGAUAUAUUUUAUGGGGUAAAGGACUUUUGAGCAUACUGUAAAGAAUUAGCUGAAAUUUUAUCUUUUUCAACUGGAUAUAAUGAAAAAGAAGGGCUGCACAACUGUGUUUCAAAUUGUCCAGCGACAAGUAUUCUCACCUUAAGAUUAGGCAAAAUAUUCCAGGCAAUGUCAGUUUUCAAAAAUUAGAGAAAAAGAAAGGAAAAGAAAAUAUCCCAUUGCCUGUAGUUCUGUAACAGUGGAACAACAAGGCCAGAAAAUGAAAGAAUCUGGCUGUCUAUCUAUAUAUUAACCACAUUUCAAGUUCGUUUAUGAAAAUUUUAUUUUAUGCCUUCCUUGUGGCAUGAUACCUUGCCAUUUGAAAUUUCUUUACAAAUUCUACCCUUUCAAACAUCCCAAGAUGCAUUGCUCAUCUGAAAUAUUACUGAUCAUGAUGCUGCUGCUCUUCAGUGUUAAUUAUAAACCUCAAAAUCAGGGGUACAACGUUAAACCCUAAGCACUCACUCGCUCACUCACUCAAAAUCAGGGCAUUAGUGUCAACAGAGCCUUUAUGUAAUGAGAUAAUAGUAUGUUUUUUCUUUUUUGACUAACACAUAUAUGUUUUACUUCAUCAGUUUGUCAGCAAAGGCCGCUAGGUGUUCCAUGUUUUAUGAAAACAGUUUUUAUAAUCAUCACCCUUAAUUAAGGUAACAUCAACUAAGCCACCUGUACAGGUAUGCUCAUUUGUAUUUAUCCGUGACAACAUCAUUGUCACUAUGAUUCCUAGAUGUAGUUGAUGAAACCGCUGCCAAAUUAUUGACCUAAUUAAGUCGACCUGUGAAUAAGGCAGGUUGUAGGAUUUCAGUGGUGGAUAAAACAACUAACAGCGUGCGAUUUUAAAAACAUUCAUUUCUUCCGUAUGUGUUAGAGAAUAUUUACCCAGUUCUAUCAUAAAUACUUUGCUUUAUUACUUCCCUGGCCCUUGGUGCUAAAAAAACCAGUAUAUUUAGUGGUCCACGCCAUCCUAGCAGAACGCCUUUUGAAAUCCUGUGGAUUAUUAUUAUUCUUUAGUCAGUUCGUAAAAUUGCAAGAUCUCGAAAUGUGGAAAAGGUAGAAAAAACAAAUUUUGGGGUUUCAAUAACAAACAUAUGGAAUAACUUUUUACGUUUUUGUUUUUUUUUUUGGGGGGGGGGGGGGGAAUUUUAUUCAUAAUCUUAAAAAAUCUUCUUCUCCAGAAUGGCUGAAGCUAUGGGCAUGAAAUUUUUGUUAGCAUUCUAAGUGGAUGACCAUACGAAGAUUCCAAAAAUCAUUGAGUUUAGUAUUCAAAUCAAGCUAUAAGUGACCAAUGAAAUUAGCUCAAAAAGAGAUCAACUCUAAAACUGCACAGUUAUGUUGAAAACAUUUCUGAGAAUAGCUUGACGUCAGGAUUAUGAAUUUCAAAGAAUUUUUUCUGUUCAAGUUGUGGUUUUCAUAUAAUUGCUAAAAAACUUUUCAGAAAUCGUUUGAUUUGUCUCCAAAUUUAACAUGCAAGCUGCAGUUUACCAUGGGAACUGACAUCAACUUUGCAAACAAUGUAUCACUUUUGUCUUUUGUUCUGGUCUAUCAUCAGGAGAUCAAAGCUGCCUAAUCUCUGUGCCAAUUUUCAGUACUAGGUACAUUGUAAAUGAUAUGUGGCAUAUGUAUAUAUAUUUAUUGCAGCUGUUGCCAAAAAUAGGAACAUUUGACGGUUUAAGUUUGAAGUGUCAAGCACUUCUUGUAUGGCUCUUUUUCAUGUGUGACUGUGUUCUGCGACAUAUUACCUUGAUUUCUGCACUCCCAUGAACAGAUUAAAAUGUUUUAGAUGUCGUGUAGGUCUGUUCUUUUUUAAACCAUUUUUAGUUUAUUUCUCAAUUAUUGAUGUAAAUUCCUGACCACUGCAGAUCUAUACCUGACCUGAUCUUUCCCCAGCAGAUCUGUCCCUGACCUGACUUUACCCCAGCAGGUCUAUCCCUGACCUGAUCUUACCCUAGCAGAUCUAUCCCUGACCUGAUCCUACCCCAGCAGAUCUACCCUUGACCAGUAAGGUUGCAGGCUUGCCCUUGUGGGUAAGGCUUAAAAGGAUAAAGAAUUGACUGAUUGGCUGGCGGUGUAGAUAGGAUUUCCUGGCUUAAUUCCUACAGUUUUGGCCACACUUGAAUAAAUGUGACAUUCAUAAAAUUCAUUUGAGGCAAGGCAUAGCCUGGACCCGCCUAUUUCUCACACCAUCCAAUCAGGGUUGUGUCUGUGUUCCGUUAAGUCAAGAGGGUUGUCCGGUAUUUGGUGAAUGACAGUGGUUUUUUUGCUUGGUGUUAAAUACCAAGACAGAAAGUGCCAUAGCACUUUAAACUGUUAUUGUUUCCAGGUAUGUUUAAAAGAAAAGACAACAAAUCAUGUAAUCUGAGUUAUUUAGGAAAAGGGUUAAAAGAGUUCUGCCGUAUGUGGGAUGGUCUUUCGGCAACCUGCGGAUGGUCGUGGGUUUUUUCCCAGGCUUUGCCCGGAUUUCUCCCACCAUAAAGAUGGCCGCCGUUGUUUAAGUGAAAUAUUCUUGAGUACAGUGUAAAACACCAAUCAAAUAAAAGAAUUCUAACUGGUCAGUCAAUAUUUUUCAGGCACGCUUGUACUAAGUCAUGAAAUAAACUUCAUUAAGGGGUCCAGUAAGAUGCGCCAUGAUAAAGCAUCAGGAAACAUGACGCUGCAUCACUUGUACAGUAUGCACAUAUGCUUAAAACCCAAAACAGGGUAUGGGUGACGUAAACGCAAACAGACUUUAGGUUAUAGAAAUGACUCUCGCCCCACUGGAUAAAACUGAAAACAUGGCAGCGUUUUCGACAGAUGUAAUGCGCUUUAUUUUGUUAUACCUCAUUUGUGCGACAUCACAAAAGUAAAAAGUUGCACUUUUUAAACUUUCUGUAGUCAGGAAUGCUUUGCUGUAUCUAUAGAUUUGUUGUAGUGUUGUCUUUUUAUGUCUCUCAUGAUCAGGGUUAGUCUGCUGAAAUAAAGAGUAUAAUUUUUCCACAUACUGAAUGUUUGGGUUUGUGAUUGGAAUGUUGUAUUUGAUACUCGAGCUUAAUGUUACGUAUGUGUGUAAAUGAGAAUGAGCAAAGGGCAUGGAUAAGUGUCUUCCCUUAUGUCUUGUUUAAACAGCAAGAUAUGAAAUUGAUGUAAUAUUUUUAUUGAUAACCAGUGAACUUUCGAGAUUUUUUUAGAUAAGUUUUUUCCCAUGAAAAAAAUGUGUCACCCCUGCGGCAGUGACAUUUCUUACUUAUAUUUUAAAAUAUUAUUUACUGUUCAUUUGUAAAUACCUAUCCAAAGACCUAGUGCUGGUCUAAUUUUCUGAAUAUACUAGUAAUUCUUUUGACAUUUAUUAUACAAUCUUAGCAUAUUGUUUGUAUAAGAUAAAUAAUAUUACGGGCACCAUGACAGCUGGAUAAUACGUGUACAUGUAAUAACUAAUAACCGUGGUAUUUUUUAUUUUUUUUGCAUGCAUGUCAUAUACUACAUGUAUUUGCCUUUUUCAUUUUGCACAAUUUUGUACACUUACAUUGCCAUCUGCAUAGAAUGAUAAUUAGUGUAAAUAAUUAAUAAAAAAAUGGCAAAUUAUCUACAUUGUCUUUGAUUUCUGCUGUACAGAAUUAUUUUUAUCUACAAUGACUGACAGAAUAUUCAUUCCUGUAAGUUACAAAUAAAAAAGUUGAUCUCUUUAAAAAGAACCUUGUUCUGAAAUUUGUUGUAUUCUUCUGGAUUAAGCACAGACUUAUCAUUGUUAGAAAAUCUUCAUCAGUUGUUGGCAGUACCUGUACAUACCAGAUUCAUGCGUGCUGUUAUAUCCACUGUUUGUACUACAUUAAUCUUAUUUGCCCAGUUUAAGGGAUAUCACAUCAUUU